rnacentral:rRNA from 1 species
UCUGGUGAUUUGACGCCAUGGAACCACCCGUUCUCAUUCCGCACACGGAAGUUAAACGUGGUAGUGCCGAUGAUACUCAUUCUGUGGGAAAAGUAGGUAGUCGCCAGAA